GUAUUUUUGUAAUAUUGUAUCCUAUUGUAACAAUGCAAUGUUUUGUGGACCCAGGACAUAUUUGAAAACAAGAGAAAUCUCAAUGUAUCCACCCUGGUAAAAUAUUUUACAAAUAAAUAGUGUUAGGAAUAAAUGUUUGUAUUCCUAACGAUAUAGUGUUUCUUUAAAUAAUUUUUAAACUGUUUCCUCAAAAAUAUGAAACCAUUUGAAAAGCUUAGCCGACAAUAUUAAAUUGGGGCCAGUGUUUGUUCAUUUAAUGAAUUCUCCCCCCCUUUUAGAGUAAAGUAUAGUAUGUGGAUUUAGAUUUAAGCUGGGUCUAUGCUCCACGAACCAGUCACUAUUGAAACCAGUGGGCUAUUCCUAGAGACCAGUACUUUUAGAGGGGGUUUUUUUUUUUU